AGAUGCUUAUUUCUCAGAGUUCUAGAGUCUAGGAAGUCCAAGAUCAAGGCACUGGCAGAUUCAGCGUCCGGUUUGUAGAGUUACUCUUUGUUAGAAAAUGCACGAGGCCAGGCUAGGUGAAAAGGAGUUUAUUUUCAACAUCUGCACGUAGACGGGCUGAGUCCCAGAUGGCAGCAGCCCUGACAUGACAAGUGUUCAGGGAUCUGGGCAGCCUCCCCGCCCACCCAAAGGGGGUAUGGGACUAUCUUGCAUAAGCUGGAAAUACCUCAAAAUAGCCCGAUACCGAGUUUUGGCUGUUUCACACAAGGGCCCCAAAGUGGGGGAAGGAUUGAGGGUCCAAAGGUCGAGCGCCCAUGGAAUUUUCCACUGGCCCUCUGAAUUCAGCCUAACUCUCCAGCCUUUUGCUUUUAUGGAAUGAGGAGAACGUCUCCUCUUCUGUAAUUGCUUCCUGCUGAACAGGGACCUUGGCAGGAGGGGCAGGCAGCCAUGGUAGGCUGCGGGAGCCAACUGGCCGUCCCAUGGGCCGUGUGCGGGAAGGACAGAGAGCGGCUUGGGACUUGCUGUGGGUGUCGGUGCCUGUGGGGCCUGCGACGGCCCCGGCAACGUGGGAGCCGGCUGAAGGGUGGCUGGGAACCCGCUGGGGUGUUCUCUCACUGUUUCGGACACUGGCUGGGGAAGGAGCUGUGCUGGGUUUUCCCUUGCGAGGAGGGUGUAGGAAGAGGGGUCCUUCAGGGGGAUCUGGACUGGCCCGUGGUGUGGCUACGGAGGGAGCAGCGUGUCCCGGACUACAGGGUGAACCAGAGAGGAGGGACGAGCAGGUUCUUCUGAACCAGGUGUGGUGGGGAAGAGGAAGAUGGAGAGGUCUGGGCUACGUGAUAAGGGGGUGAGCGUAGGGAGGCUGGGGAUUUGGAGUCCCGUUGUCCAGAGGGAAAGGAUGGGACCCUACCUUGAGAGCUUUGGUCACAGUCCCUCCUCCAGGGGUCAUUUUUGCCAGUUAGGACAGGGGCCAGGGGGAGGUCUAGGGCCAGGGCCAGCUCUUGCCCAGUGACCCUUCUACCAUACUAAAGCUCAGCCCAGGUGGUAUUUUUGUCCUAGGUGCUUUGGCCCCUGUGCCUUUAUGGACAGGUGCCUUGCUGGUGGCGCCCUGGCUGUCUGCCGCCUGCAGCUAAUGGCUACCUCUGUCCCUUUUGUUUCUCCAAUUUUUCUUCCUGGUCCUGGUUAUUAAAGACCCUGAAGGCCAGGUUUAGGAGACCCUUUUGUGGGGUUUGAGGGCCUUUGUCUAAUGUUUGGAGUUUAUGUCUCAUAUCUGGAGCAGAUUGGGAGAUAAAAUGCAUAUUUAAACUAAGGUCCCUCGGCCGAGGUGGGUUUAUGGUGAUAUAUUUUAGUAGAGCUUCCAUUAGGCGAGAUAAGAAAUGAGCAGGGUUUCCUCUGGGUUUUGGCUGACAAUUCUUUAAGUUUUUCAUAACUGACCGCUUUCUGACCAGCCUUUCCAAGGCCGUAAGGCAUGAGGUCGCCUGGCCCAGUGACGGCGGCCGGGUGUUCCGGUUUGAUAGUCCCGAUUGGGGUCUUCCCGGGACACUGCCCUGCCGGUGGGUACCAGCAGAUGGGCCUGGGCAGCCGUCCAGACCCUUCCCUUCUCCGGGUUUAAGGUAGGGGGAGAGGAUGACAAACAGGGCCUGCCACGUCAUGUCAUAAGACAGGGUGAAGUGUUCAAAUUCUUUGGUGUAGUCAGUAACUCACAAGGGGGCUAAUAAAGAAAAAGAAUAAAUUAUUAAAUAAAAUGUAAAAAAUCAAAAAGCAAACAAACAACAACAAAACCAAAUUCUUUGGUGUAAGCGGUGGGGUGUGGAGAAGGAACCUAAUCUCUUCUCUAUCUGAGACAGGUCGGACAGAGAGAGAGGGCACGCACCCCAACGAUGCCCUCUGCCUGCCACCUCUCGGAGAGGAAGGGUGGCAGACGUCCCGGCCCGGUCACUUGUGCUGUUCCGGACUAAGUGGCCUCUCUCCUGUGCAAGCUCCCUGCUGAGAUUCCGAAAGAGGAGACUCUGGAGAAUCCAUAGCCCGGAGGCGGGGAACCUCCUGCCUAGGCUGGGACUUCUGAGGGAAGGCAAACCGGAAGCUGAGAGAGAGAGCAGGAAGGAGAGGAGAGGGCAGGAGCCCCUCACCCAGGAGACGGCGCCGCGGGAUGUAAGGCGGCGCGAGUGGCACAUUCAUAAGCAUCUCCCACACAUACUAGCCGGUGACAAAGGGAGACUCCACAACGCCCCUGAGGGGAAGUGGGACAGAUGGCGUGUUCUAGCACGAUGCAAUAAGACACAGGCUGCUCAGGCGUCCAUAACAAAGCACCACGCACCGAGGCUGAAACAACAGGAAUCUACUUCCGUCAGGCUCUGGCGGCUGAGAGUCGCCCAGAUCAAGGUGGCGGCAGGGCUGGUUUCCCCUGAGUCCUCGCUCCUUGGCUUGUAGAUGCCACCUUCUCCCUGUGUCCGCGCAUGGUCGUCCCUCUCUACUGUGUCUGUGUCCUCGUCGCCUCUUCUUACGAUGACGUGAGCCGACUGGACCAGCGUGCAUGCAUUGGCCUUUAUUUGCCCUCCCCAGUCGCCCAAUCUCCAAAUGCUGUCACAUGCCGAGCGAGGUCCUGGGAGUUCCGACUUUUGGGGAGGGACACAAUGCCCAUAAGAGAUGGUAAAACUAACAAACUCCCAACAAGUCCUAUUGCCCAGAAAAUUUAAAACUCUUUUAAACAAUACUUCGGGGGAAAAGGAAAUCGAAAUCCAAGUCACAACGUGUCAGAGCCUCCAGGACAAGAGAUAAAGCAGCGAGCUUUUUUUCUUUUUUGAAGAGAAGAAAAGAUAAAUUUAUUAACUUGCCGGCAAAUGAGGAGGAUGGAGACUCCUGUCUGAAAAACGUCAUUGUCCUACUAAAAAGCAGAAAUACAGAGCUUUUAAAGGGUGCCAUGUAGCUUCAGACAGCUUCUGUUCAGUUGUAAAGUGGUGUUCUUUUCACGUUAAAGGACCAGCCUUUUAUAUUUGAGCAAAAGGAAGAAUAAAAAUAAACCAAAGCAAAACAAAAAACCCAGCCAAGUGCUUUGGUGGGCACCUGAGUUCCCAGCUACUUGGGAGGCUUAGUUGGGAGGAUUGCUUGAGCCCAGGAGUUGAAGGCCAACCUGGACA